AUUGAACGCUGGCGGCAGGCCUAACACAUGCAAGUCGAACGAGUGGCGGACGGGUGAGUAAUGUCUGGGAAACUGCCUGAUGGAGGGGGAUAACUACUGGAAACGGUAGCUAAUACCGCAUACCAUCAGAUGUGCCCAGAGGGGAUUAGCUUGUUGGUGGGGUAACGGCUCACCAAGGCGACGAUCCCUCGCUGGUCUGAGAGGAUGACCGGCCACACUGGAAAUGAGCAACGGUCCAGACUUUGACGGGAGGCAGCGGUGGGGAAUAUAGCACAAGGGGCGAAAGCCUGAUGCAGCCAUGCCGGGUGUAUGAAGAAGGCCUUCGGGUUGUAAAGUACUUUCAGCGGGGAGGCGUUACCCGCAGAAGAAGCACCGGCUAACUCCGUGCCAGCAGCCGCGGUAAUUC
rnacentral:rRNA from 1 species